CACAGUUCAGCUCUCAGCAACUGAUGCACAGACAGCUGCUGUUUUCUCCCUUCCCCACCUCCUGCUCCCCUAACCAUUCUCCUUUUUCUUUCAAUUUCUUACCUACACUGCCUCCAUUCAUCCCCUCUGUACUUUCCCCUUCCUUCCCUCUACUUUGUCAUUUUGAUCUGUACUUUUCCUCAGGCGGAUAAAAAAGGCAGGUCCUGGUGCAGGGAGAGGGCUUGUGUAAUCUCUGGCUGCACAUGAGCACCGGAGAGUUAUUGCUUCAGCUGGAAAAGCAACACAGCAGAGGACCCGCUAACACUUAAAGGACAAACUUUGGAAUAAGGAGAGGAGUAAGGAACACUUGUUGUGACAGGAAGAGACGAGAGGAACAGUUUGGAGUUUUGGGUGCAGGACAGAGACCAUGCCGGGCUCUGUGCUGCUGCUGCUUCUGUCCCUGUUGGUCCUGUCCACAGGAAGUGAUGCCAGAAGAAUAAGGAAAAGAGGACUCAACCACAAGGACUAUGAGUACCAAAACCACCCCCAGUCCACACAGCACCAGAAGAAUGAUCGGUGUCCACCACCACCACAGAUGCUGCCAGAGAGAGCAUGCGAGGUGCCGGGCUGCCGCUCAGACUCCGAGUGUGAGCGCCAUAAACGCUGCUGCUACAAUGGCUGCAUCUACGCUUGCCUGGAGUCAGUCCAGCCACCACCAGUGUUGGAUUGGCUGGUGCAGCCCAAACCUCGGUGGUUGGGGGGAAACGGCUGGCUGUUGGACGGUCCCGAGGAGGUUCUGCAGGCUGAGGCCUGCAGCACAACAGAGGAUGGAGAUGAGCCUCUUCACUGUCCCACAGGCUACGAGUGCCACAUAAUCAACCAAGGAAACCCUGCUGCUGGAAUCCCUAACAGAGGACAGUGCAUCAAGCAACGUGCCAACUCUGAUGGACGGGGUCUGAGGCACAAAUACUUCAAGGACUACAAGGACUACUUGGGUAAGUGAGGUACCAGUUCUAACAAUGCAGUCGGCUAUGAAAAACAUCAUCACAAGCACCUGCAGGGAUAAAAUCCACCCUGACCUCAGCUUCAUCGACGACCGUAACACAACCUCAGACAUCAGCACACUCCUCAUCAAUCUGCUCUCAUCACACCUGAACCAGGACCACACCUGACCUUUGUUUUAACUCUUACAGCGGCUACCUCCUCUUCGUAAAAGCCUCUCUUGCAGUCAGUGCCAUCACAAAAUCCUUCAAAGGACAAUCAAACGUACAGUAAACAACCAAAGAAAUGAGUGCUCCUUUUAUUUCCCUUCUCUGUCUGGUGUUUGUGAAAGGAUGAUGAUGGUAGAGCAGACGAGAGGUGAGCAGAGUUUGCACCAAAGAUUAUUUUCCAAAUGUCUCAGAAGGAAAAAGGAAACUCAAGCCUUUUUAAGUCAUGUCGUGUUUUCACUUUGCAGCCAUCUCCCGCUCUUCACUGCAUUCUUAUUCUCACACACAAACACACUGGGUAUUUCUAAGGCCAGUCAACACAGGAAAUCAGAACCAUAUGGCCUCUCACUCAUCUGUCUAUCUUAUUGUCAAAAGGAAACAGUUUGAAUUUCCUGAUCUUUACUCUGGAAGGUUUCAUUGAAAAAUAGGUCAAAUUCCAGCCAAAUUUCUCCACUUCUUUCAUCAAAUCCAAAUGUAGUUUUAUAAUCUGUAGAAUAACAACUCAUAGACCUGAUUUAAACAUAACUGCCAUAUUAGUGUUUUGAUGUUUUUAAAUAUUUGGAUCAUCAUAUAGGUGCUACUUAAAGGUCAAAUAUUGUGCAUAACAUGUUUCUCUAACACUAGUGUCCUAAGUCUGUCUACAAACCCCCCAAUUAUGA